ensembl:lncRNA
ACUGGAUCAUGGGUGUUUGAUACUAGAUCAGUCCACUGAUUGGUUUAGCACAGUUCGGGGUAUGGAUGAUGGAUUUACUGAAGAGAGUAGACCUACCCUGGGUGUGGGUGGCACUAACCAGUAGGCUUGCACCCUGGAUUGAAUAAAAAGGGAAAGAAGAAGAAGGCUUCAAUGCUUCCUGCCUGCCUUGCCAUGGACUGUUUCUCCUCUGUGUUGCCCCUCUGCCAUGCCACCCUGCCUUGGAGCCAGCUGACUGUGGACUGAAACUUCUACAAACUGUGAGCAAAAAUAAAUCUUUUCUUCUUUAAAUUGUGAGUGUCAUAUAUUGUGUCCUAGCAAUGAGAAAGCAACUAAGACAUGUUGGGAAAACUGGUUAUCCAGGGCCAGGGAUUUAGCUCAGUGAUUUCACUGCCUACUGCACAAGUGCAAGGACCCGAGUCUGAUCCCUGGUACCAAAACAAAACAAAACAAAAAACACAAACAAACUGGUUAUCCACACGGAGAUUAAAUCUAGACCCAUGUCUCUCAUCAUGCACUAAACUAAAGUCAAAUGGAUCAAAAUAUUAAAAACAGCAACACUUAAUCUUCGGAAAAAUAAAAUAGGUAAAACUCUUGAAGACAUAGGCCCAGGCAAGGAUUUUCUGAACAGAACCUAAUUACACAAAAAAGAAUACCAGGAAUCGACAAUAGGAUCAUAUGAAAUUAAAAACCUGCACAGCAAGGAAAACAACCAACAGAAUGAAGCGACAACUUGCAGCAGUGGUGGCGAACCUAUGGCACGUGUAGUGCACUGGACUAUUUGUAUCAUUGAAAGCUCUAAAAGUUUCACCAUCAUUGAUCUACAGAAUGGGAAAAAAAUUUUUGCCAGCUCUUCCUCAGACAGAGGACUAAUGGGUAGAGUUCAUAAAGAACUCAAGAAAAUUUGACCCUCCCCAAAAUAAAAGACCCAAUCAAAAAGUGUGCAACUGAAAUGAACAGACACUUCUGAGAUGAAGAAAUACAAAAAUACUGGCCCUUAGAGAAAUUCAAAUUAAAAUAAUACUGAGUUUUCAUCUGAAAGAAUGACAAUCAUCAAGAAAUCAAAUAAUAAUAAAUACUGGUGAGGCUGUGGAAAAAAAUGAAACCUUCACUAUUGGUGGGAAUGUAGACUAAUACAAUCAUUAUGGAAAUCAGUGUGGUGACUCAUCAAAAAACUAAAACUAGAAAUUCCAUUUGAUCCAAAUAUUUCCUUUCUAUGUAUCUUCCUAAAAGAUAUAAGGCAUCAUUUGACUCAGCUGUUCCCCUUCUAUGUCUCUUCCCAAAAGGUAAGAGGAUAUAGUGCAUCAUAUGAACAUGCAUACAUAUGUUUACAGCAGCAUAAUUCACAAUAGCUAUAUCUUAAAAGUGGCCUACAUAUCCAUCAAUAAAUGAAUGGAUUAAGAAAUUGUGGCAUUUUUAGAGUACUACUCAGCUGCAAAGAAGGAUAUAUUGGAGUCAUUUGUAGGAAAAUGGAUGCACCUUGGGACAGUAAUGUUAAAUGAAAUAAAUCAUGGGCUGGGGAUUUAGCUCAGUGGUUCCAGCACCUGCCUCCAAAGCACAAUGUCCUGAGUUCGAUCCCUGAAAGAAAGAAAGAAAGAAAGAAAGAAAGAAAGAAAGAAAGAAAGAAAGAAAAAGAGAGAGAAAGAAAUCAGAUGCACAAGCUUCAAUAUUGCAUGAUUUCUCUUAUAUGAGAAACCUAAAAUAUAGAUAGAGCAAAAUAAACAUAGAUAAUGGAAAACAAGAAGUAGAUCUUUUGCAAAUGGGAAAGGGACCAAGAAAAAAAGGAGAGGGGAAGGGGAUAAAAUAUUAAGAUAUGUUGAGUACACGUACCAACGUGUACACGAGGACUGAUUAUUCUGUACUAGAGACACAUACUAAUAAAAAAAAAUCAAAAAAAGGAAAAAAAAAAAAGAAAGAAAGAGUGGCUCCUAGUCAUGAGCUCCCUUGUGCUUUGGGUGGCGCUGCCUGAGUACUGAUCUGGUUUCUGUGGCAGGAAGUGAGAGGUGUGGGGGAAGCUGACGGAGAGGCACCCCCAGCCCUGCUCGGAGCUGGAUCCUGAGUCCUGGAUACAGUACAAGAGGGGCGGAGAGAGUUCAGGAUGGAGCCUAAAGGUGUCUGAGCCCCACUGUGACCCCACACCUCACCCAGAGCCUGACACAUAGUAGCAGAUCAGAACAGAAGGCAAAGGGUAAAGGAGGGACAGGCACAGUCCUGCACGCCUGUAAUCCCAGCAGUUGGAGCUGAGGCAGGAGGACUGCACCUGAGUCCAGUCUGAGCUACACAGCAGCUUAGUGAAACCCUGUGUCAAAAUAAAAAAUAAGAAGGGCUGGGGAUGUAGCUCAGUGCAAAGGUCUUGGGUUCAAUUCCAAGUAGUGGAAAAGAAAGAAAGGAAGAAAGGAAGAAAAAGAAAGAAAGAGAGAGAGAGAG